rnacentral:rRNA from 1 species
GGAGGAACAUGUGGUUUAAUUCGAUGAUACGCGAGGAACCUUACCCGGGCUUGAAAGUUAGUGACGGACUUGGAAACAGGUCUUCCCUUCGGGGCACGACACUAGGUGCUGCAUGGUUGUCGUCAGCUCGUGCCGUGAGGUGUCGGGUUAAGUCCCAUAACGAGCGCAACCCCUACCGUUAGUUGCCAUCAGGUCAAGCUGGGCACUCUAGCGGGACUGCCAGUGUAAGCCGAGAGGAAGGUGGGGAUGACGUCAAAUCAGCACGGCCCUUACGUCCGGGGCGACACACGUGUUACAAUGGUCGGUACAGAGGGCAGCUACCUGGUGACAGGAUGCGAAUCUCGAAAGCCGAUCUCAGUUCGGAUUGGAGGCUGAAACCCGCCUCCAUGAAGUUGGAUUCGCUAGUAAUCGCGCAUCAGCCAUGGCGCGGUGAAUACGUUCCCGGGCCUUGUACACACCGCCCGUCAAGCCAUGGAAGCUGGGGGUGCCUGAAGUACGUGACCGCAAGGAGCGUCCUAGGGCAAAACUAGUGACUGGGGCUAAGUCGUAACAAGGUAACC